CUUUGUCGCUAAGAUUCGA
rnacentral:sRNA from 1 species